rnacentral:rRNA from 1 species
GGGCGGAGGCCUGAUGCAGCGACGCCGCGUGAGGGAUGACGGCCUUCGGGUUGUAAACCUCUUUCAGCAGGGAAGAAGCGCAAGUGACGGUACCUGCAGAAGAAGCGCCGGCUAACUACGUGCCAGCAGCCGCGGUAAUACGUAGGGCGCAAGCGUUGUCCGGAAUUAUUGGGCGUAAAGAGCUCGUAGGCGGUCUGUCGCGUCUGGUGUGAAAACCCGAGGCUCAACCUCGGGCUUGCAUCGGGUACGGGCAGACUAGAGUGCGGUAGGGGAGACUGGAAUUCCUGGUGUAGCGGUGGAAUGCGCAGAUAUCAGGAGGAACACCGAUGGCGAAGGCAGGUCUCUGGGCCGCAACUGACGCUGAGGAGCGAAAGCAUGGGGAGCGAACAGGAUUAGAUACCCUGGUAGUCCAUGCCGUAAACGUUGGGCACUAGGUGUGGGGCUCAUUCCACGAGUUCCGUGCCGCAGCUAACGCAUUAAGUGCCCCGCCUGGGGAGUACGGCCGCAAGGCUAAAACUCAAAUGAAUUGACGGGG